CAGGCCCAAGAGAUCCCAACAGGAAUCUACCUGCUAUAGAAAUUCUCACCACUGAUAAGAACAAAACCAGACGACAAUUUCAGUGGGUCCGCGUCGACCAAGAGUGACGGUAAUGGAGGUGGAGAGGAACGAACACAUCAGAACUGCGAGGGCAAAGAGAAGCAGCUGUGAGGAGCCUGCAAGCUUCCCCAAAGGUGCCCCUCACCUGUGUCACCUC